rnacentral:rRNA from 1 species
GNNGAACGCUGGCGGCGUGCCUAAUACAUGCAAGUAGAACGCUGAAGAGAGGAGCUUGCUCUUCUUGAAUGAGUUGCGAACGGGUGAGUAACGCGUAGGUAACCUGCCUUGUAGCGGGGGAUAACUAUUGGAAACGAUAGCUAACACCGCAUAACAAUGGGUGACACAUGUCAUUUAUUUGAAAGGGGCAAUUGCUCCACUACAAGAUGGACCUGCGUUGUAUUAGCUAGUAGGUGAGGUAACGGCUCACCUAGGCGACGAUACAUAGCCGACCUGAGAGGGUGAUCGGCCACACUGGGACUGAGACACGGCCCAGACUCCUACGGGAGGCAGCAGUAGGGAAUCUUCGGCAAUGGGGGCAACCCUGACCGAGCAACGCCGCGUGAGUGAAGAAGGUUUUCGGAUCGUAAAGCUCUGUUGUAAGUCAAGAACGAGUGUGAGAGUGGAAAGUUCACACUGUGACGGUAGCUUACCAGAAAGGGACGGCUAACUACGUGCCAGCAGCCGCGGUAAUACGUAGGUCCCGAGCGUUGUCCGGAUUUAUUGGGCGUAAAGCGAGCGCAGGCGGUUUGAUAAGUCUGAAGUUAAAGGCUGUGGCUCAACCAUAGUUCGCUUUGGAAACUGUCAAACUUGAGUGCAGAAGGGGAGAGUGGAAUUCCAUGUGUAGCGGUGAAAUGCGUAGAUAUAUGGAGGAACACCGGUGGCGAAAGCGGCUCUCUGGUCUGUAACUGACGCUGAGGCUCGAAAGCGUGGGGAGCGAACAGG